GGNGUGCUUANACAUGCAAGUCGAACGAUGAUGCUGGAGCUUGCUCCAGUUGAUUAGUGGCGAACGGGUGAGUAGCACGUGAGCAAUCUGCCCUUGACUCUGGGAUAACUGCGGGAAACUGUAGCUAAUACCGGAUACUUUCACCGGAAGGCAUCUUCUGGUGAUGAAAGAAUUUCGGUCAGGGAUGAGCUCGCGGCCUAUCAGCUUGUUGGUGAGGUAACGGCUCACCAAGGCGACGACGGGUAACCGGCCUGAGAGGGUGACCGGUCACACUGGGACUGAGACACGGCCCAGACUCCUACGGGAGGCAGCAGUGGGGAAUUUUCCGCAAUGGGCGAAAGCCUGACGGAGCAAUACCGCGUGAGGGAAGAAUGCCUACGGGUUGUAAACCUCUUUUAUCAGGGAGGAAUAAAAUGACGUGUACCUGAUGAAUAAGCAUCGGCUAACUCUGUGCCAGCAGCCGCGGUAAGACAGAGGAUGCAAGUGUUAUCCGGAAUUACUGGGCGUAAAGCGUCUGUAGGUUGUUAAACAAGUCAACUGUUAAAUCUUGAAGCUCAACUUCAAAAUCGCAGUCGAAACUGUUUAACUAGAGUAUAGUAGAGGUAAAGGGAAUUUCCAGUGGAGCGGUGAAAUGCGUAGAUAUUGGGAAGAACACCGAUGGCGAAAGCACUUUACUGGGCUAUUACUGACACUCAGAGACGACAGCUAGGGUAGCAAAUGGGAUUAGAUACCCCAGUAGUCCUAGCCGUAAACUAUGGAUACUAGAUGUUGAACAGAUCGACCUGUGCAGUAUUAAAGCUAACGCGUUAAGUAUCCCGCCUGGGAAGUAUGCUCGCAAGAGUGAAACUCAAAUGAAUUGACGGA
rnacentral:rRNA from 1 species